rnacentral:rRNA from 1 species
UACGUAGGGUGCGAGCGUUAAUCGGAAUUACUGGGCGUAAAGCGUGCGCAGGCGGUUCGUUGUGUCGGCGGUGAAAGCCCCGGGCUCAACCUGGGAAUGGCCGUUGAAACUCCCGAACUCGAGUCCUGGAGAGGAAGGCGGAAUUCUCGGUGUAGCGGUGAAAUGCGUAGAUAUCGAGAGGAACACCUGCGGCGAAGGCGGGUUGCUGGGCUGACACUGACGCUGAGGCGCGAAAGCUAGGGGAGCGAACGGG